rnacentral:rRNA from 1 species
UACGUAGGGUGCAAGCGUUGCCCGGAUUUAUUGGGCGUAAAGGGCGCGUAGGCGGCUCUGCACGUCCGUUGUGAAAUCGCCCGGCUCAACUGGGCGGGGUCAGCGGAUACGGCAGAGCUUGAGCAAGCUAGGGGGCAAUGGAAUUCCCGGUGUAGUGGUGGAAUGCGUAGAUAUCGGGAGGAACACCAGUGGCGAAGGCGGCGACCUGGACGGACAUUGACGCUGAGACGCGAAAGCGUGGGGAGCAAACAGG